AUACGUAGGGUGCGAGCGUUGUCCGGAAUGACUGGGCGUAAAGGGCGUGUAGGCGGCCGACUAAGUCUGGAGUGAAAGUCCUGUUUUCAAGGUGGGAAUAGCUUUGGAUACUGGUUGGCUUGAGUGCGGAAGAGGUAAGUGGAAUUCCCAGUGUAGCGGUGAAAUGCGUAGAGAUUGGGAGGAACACCAGUGGCGAAGGCGACUUACUGGGCCGUAACUGACGCUGAGGCGCGAAAGCGUGGGGAGCGAACAGGAUUAGAUACCCUGGUAGUCCACGCGGUAAACGAUGAAUGCUAGGUGUUGCGGGUAUCGACCCCUGCAGUGCCGGAGUCAACACAAUAAGCAUUCCGCCUGGGGAGUACGGCCGCAAGGUUGAAACUCAAAUGAAUUGACGGGG
rnacentral:rRNA from 1 species